rnacentral:rRNA from 1 species
UAGGGAAUCUUCGGCAAUGGACGAAAGUCUGACCGAGCAACGCCGCGUGAGUGAAGAAGGUUUUCGGAUCGUAAAACUCUGUUGUUAGAGAAGAACAAGGACGUUAGUAACUGAACGUCCCCUGACGGUAUCUAACCAGAAAGCCACGGCUAACUACGUGCCAGCAGCCGAGGUAAUACGUAGGUGGCAAGCGUUGUCCGGAUUUAUUGGGCGUAAAGCGAGCGCAGGCGGUUUCUUAAGUCUGAUGUGAAAGCCCCCGGCUCAACCGGGGAGGGUCAUUGUAAACUGGGAUACUUGAGUGCAGAAGCGGGGAGUGGAAUUCCAUGUGUAGCGUUAAAAUGCGUUGAUAUGUGGAUGAACACCAGUGGCGAAGGCGGCUCUCUGGUCUGUAACUGACGCUGAGGCUCGAAGGCGUGGGGAGCAAACAGG